CCUACGGGUGUCAGCAGUAGGGAAUCUUCCACAAUGGGCGCAAGCCUGAUGGAGCAACACCGCGUUAGUGAAGAAGGGUUUCGGCUCGUAAAGCUCUGUUGUUGGAGCAGAACGUGCGUGAUAGUAACUUUUCACGCAGUGACUGUCUCCAACCCGAAAGUCACGUCUAACUACGUGCCAGCAGCCGAGGUAAUACGUAGGUGGCAAGCAUUAUCCGGAUUUAUUUGGCGUAAAGCGAGCGCAGGCGGUUGCUGAGGUCUGAUGGGAAAGCCUUCGGCUUAACCGAAGAAGUGCAUCGGAAACCGGGCGACGUGAGUGCAGAAGAGGACAGUGGAACGCCAUGUGUAGCGGUGGAAUGCGUAGAUAUAUGGAAGAACACCAGUGGCGAAGGCGGCUGUCUGGUCUGCAACUGACGCUGAGGCUCGAAAGCAUGGGUAGCGAACAGGAUUAGAUACCCCAGUAGUC
rnacentral:rRNA from 1 species